AGUGAACGCUGGCGGUAGGCCUAACACAUGCAAGUCGAACGGCGGCACAGUAAGAGCUUGCUCUUACGGGUGGCGAGUGGCGGACGGGUGAGGAAUACAUCGGAAUCUACUUUUUCGUGGGGGAUAACGUAGGGAAACUUACGCUAAUACCGCAUACGACCUACGGGUGAAAGCAGGGGAUCUUCGGACCUUGCGCGAUUGAAUGAGCCGAUGUCGGAUUAGCUAGUUGGCGGGGUAAAGGCCCACCAAGGCGACGAUCCGUAGCUGGUCUGAGAGGAUGAUCAGCCACACUGGAACGGAGACACGGUCCAGACUCCUACGGGAGGCAGCAGUGGGGAAUAUUGGACAAUGGGCGCAAGCCUGAUCCAGCCAUACCGCGUGGGUGAAGAAGGCCUUCGGGUUGUAAAGCCCUUUUGUUGGGAAAGAAGAGCAGCAGGUUAAUACCCCGCUGUUCUGACGGUACCCAAAGAAUAAGCACCGGCUAACUUCGUG
rnacentral:rRNA from 1 species